UAAAUAUUUAUAUUUUCACUCGACUACAUCUCAGAAGAUCCUAGUUUUUCGCGCACGGCCCGGGCAGAAGCCCCCGCGCCUAUGCGGCCCGCCGAAGCAACAAGGUAUCAUAAACACGGUGGAGGUUGGACCCAGAGGGCCCUCUUCCGUAGGGUAACCUGCGGAAGGAUCAUUACCGAGUGAGGGCCCUCUGGGUCCAACCUCCCACCCGUGUUUAUUAUACCUUGUUGCUUCGGCGGGCCCGCCGUAUGGCCGCCGGGGGGCUUCUGCCCCCGGGCCCGUGCCCGCCGAAGACACCUAGAACUCUGUCUGAAGAUUGUAGUCUGAGUGAAAAUAUAAAUUAUUUAAAACUUUCAACAACGGAUCUCUUGGUUCCGGCAUCGAUGAAGAACGCAGCGAAAUGCGAUACGUAAUGUGAAUUGCAGAAUUCAGUGAAUCAUCGAGUCUUUGAACGCACAUUGCGCCCUCUGGUAUUCCGGAGGGCAUGCCUGUCCGAGCGUCAUUGCUGCCCUCAAGCACGGCUUGUGUGUUGGGCCCCGCCCCCCGAUCCCGGGGGGCGGGCCCGAAAGGCAGCGGCGGCACCGCGUCCGGUCCUCGAGCGUAUGGGGCUUUGUCACCCGCUCUGUAGGCCCGGCCGGCGCCUGCCGAUCAACCAAACUUUUUUCCAGGUUGACCUCGGAUCAGGUAGGGAUACCCGCUGAACUUAAGCAUAUCAAUAAGCGGAGGAAGU
rnacentral:rRNA from 1 species